rnacentral:rRNA from 1 species
UACGGAAGGGGCAAGCGUUGUUCGGAAUCAUUGGGCGUAAAGGGCGCGUAGGUGGUUCUGUAUGUCUACCGUGAAAGCGUACGGCUCAACCGUAUUUUGUCGGUGGAAACUGCAGGACUUGAGGCUGGGAGGGGCUGGUGGAAUUCCCUGUGUAGCGGUGAAAUGCGUAGAGAUGGGGGAGAACACUCGUGGCGAAGGCGGCCAGCUAGACCAGUUCUGACACUGGAGGCGCGACAGCGUGGGGAGCAAACGGG